rnacentral:rRNA from 1 species
GCUUAACACAUGCAAGUCGAACGCCGUAGCAAUACGGAGUGGCAGACGGGUGAGUAACACGUGGGAACAUACCCUUUGGUUCGGAACAACACAGGGAAACUUGUGCUAAUACCGGAUAAGCCCUUACGGGGAAAGAUUUAUCGCCAAAGGAUUGGCCCGCGUCUGAUUAGCUAGUUGGUGGGGUAACGGCCCACCAAGGCGACGAUCAGUAUCCGGCCUGAGAGGGCGGACGGACACACUGGGACUGAGACACGGCCCAGACUCCUACGGGAGGCAGCAGUGGGGAAUAUUGGACAAUGGGCGAAAGCCUGAUCCAGCAAUGCCGCGUGAGUGAUGAAGGCCUUAGGGUUGUAAAGCUCUUUUACGUGGGAAGAAACCGAUGCUUUAUAGUGUCGUUGACGGUACCAUAGGAAUAAGCACCGGCUAACUCCGUGCCAGCCGCCGCGGUAAUUC